rnacentral:rRNA from 1 species
GUAGCGGCGAGCGAACGGGGAGGAGCCCAGAGCCUGAAUCAGCAUGUGUGUUAGUGGAAGCGUCUGGAAAGGCGCGCGAUACAGGGUGACAGCCCCGUACACAAAAGCGCAUGUGCUGUGAGCUCGAUGAGUAGGGCGGGACACGUGGUAUCCUGUCUGAAUAUGGGGGGACCAUCCUCCAAGGCUAAAUACUCCUGACUGACCGAUAGUGAACCAGUACCGUGAGGGAAAGGCGAAAAGAACCCCGGCGAGGGGAGUGAAAAAGAACCUGAAACCGU